rnacentral:rRNA from 1 species
CCUACGGGAGGCAGCAGUGAGGAAUAUUGGUCAAUGGACGAGAGUCUGAACCAGCCAAGUAGCGUGAAGGAUGACUGCCCUAUGGGUUGUAAACUUCUUUUAUAAAGGAAUAAAACGAGGCUCGUGUGCCUUUUUGCAUGUACUUUAUGAAUAAGGAUCGGCUAACUCCGUGCCAGCAGCCGCGGUAAUACGGAGGGUGCGAGGGUUAAUCGGAAUGACUGGGCGGAAAGGGCUCGUAGGCGGUAUGUCAAGUCAAGGGUGAAAUCCCCGGGCUCAACGUGGGAACUGCCUUUGAAACUGGUAAACUGGAGUGUGGGAGAGGUGAGUGGAAUUCCAGGUGUAGGAGUGAAAUCCGUAGAUAUCAGGAGGAACAUCAGUGGCGAAGGCGACUAACUGGAAUGUAACUGACGCUGAGGAGCGAAAGCGUGGGUAGCAAACAGGAUUAGAUACCCUAGUAGUC